rnacentral:tRNA from 1 species
CAGUAAAGUGUCUGCCUGCAAUGCAGGAGACCCAGGUUCGAUCCCUGGGUCAGGAA